GGGUUGUGAGGUUAAGCGACUAAGCGUACACGGUGGAUGCCCUGGCAGUCAGAGGCGAUGAAGGACGUGCUAAUCUGCGAAAAGCGUCGGUAAGGUGAUAUGAACCGUUAUAGCCGGCGAUGUCCGAAUGGGGAAACCCAGUGCAAUUCGUUGCACUAUCGUUAACUGAAUACAUAGGUUAACGAGGCGAACCGGGGGAACUGAAACAUCUAAGUACCCCGAGGAAAAGAAAUCAACCGAGAUUCCCCCAGUAGCGGCGAGCGAACGGGGAGCAGCCCAGAGUCUGAAUCAGCUUGUGUGUUAGUGGAACGGUCUGGAAAGUCCGACGGUACAGGGUGAUAGUCCCGUACACCAAAAUGCACAGGUUGUGAACUCGAAGAGUAGGGCGGGACACGUGGUAUCCUGUCUGAAUAUGGGGGGACCAUCCUCCAAGGCUAAAUACUCCUGACUGACCGAUAGUGAACCAGUACCGUGAGGGAAAGGCGAAAAGAACCCCGGCGAGGGGAGUGAAAAAGAACCUGAAACCGUGUACGUACAAGCAGUGGGAGCACCUUCGGGUGUGACUGCGUACCUUUUGUAUAAUGGGUCAGCGACUUAUAUUCUGUAGCAAGGUUAACCGUAUAGGGGAGCCGCAGGGAAACCGAGUCUUAACUGGGCGUUAAGUUGCAGGGUAUAGACCCGAAACCCGGUGAUCUAGCCAUGGGCAGGUUGAAGGUUGGGUAACACUAACUGGAGGACCGAACCGACUAAUGUUGAAAAAUUAGCGGAUGACUUGUGGCUGGGGGUGAAAGGCCAAUCAAACCGGGAGAUAGCUGGUUCUCCCCGAAAGCUAUUUAGGUAGCGCCUCGUGAACUCAUCUUCGGGGGUAGAGCACUGUUUCGGCUAGGGGGUCAUCCCGACUUACCAACCCGAUGCAAACUACGAAUACCGAAGAAUGUUAUCACGGGAGACACACGGCGGGUGCUAACGUCCGUCGUGAAGAGGGAAACAACCCAGACCGCCAGCUAAGGUCCCAAAGUCAUGGUUAAGUGGGAAACGAUGUGGGAAGGCACAGACAGCCAGGAUGUUGGCUUAGAAGCAGCCAUCAUUUAAAGAAAGCGUAAUAGCUCACUGGUCGAGUCGGCCUGCGCGGAAGAUGUAACGGGGCUAAACCAUGCACCGAAGCUGCGGCAGCGACACUAUGUGUUGUUGGGUAGGGGAGCGUUCUGUAAGCCUGCGAAGGUGACCUGUGAGGGUUGCUGGAGGUAUCAGAAGUGCGAAUGCUGACAUAAGUAACGAUAAAGCGGGUGAAAAGCCCGCUCGCCGGAAGACCAAGGGUUCCUGUCCAACGUUAAUCGGGGCAGGGUGAGUCGACCCCUAAGGCGAGGCCGAAAGGCGUAGUCGAUGGGAAACAGGUUAAUAUUCCUGUACUUGGUGUUACUGCGAAGGGGGGACGGAGAAGGCUAUGUUAGCCGGGCGACGGUUGUCCCGGUUUAAGCAUGUAGGCUGGUUGUCCAGGCAAAUCCGGAUAAUCAAGGCUGAGGUGUGAUGACGAGGCACUACGGUGCUGAAGUAACAAAUGCCCUGCUUCCAGGAAAAGCCUCUAAGCAUCAGGUAACAUUAAAUCGUACCCCAAACCGACACAGGUGGUCAGGUAGAGAAUACCAAGGCGCUUGAGAGAACUCGGGUGAAGGAACUAGGCAAAAUGGUGCCGUAACUUCGGGAGAAGGCACGCUGGUGUGUAGGUGAAGUCCCUGCGGAUGGAGCUGAGACCAGUCGAAGAUACCAGCUGGCUGCAACUGUUUAUUAAAAACACAGCACUGUGCAAACACGAAAGUGGACGUAUACGGUGUGACGCCUGCCCGGUGCCGGAAGGUUAAUUGAUGGGGUUAUCCGUAAGGAGAAGCUCUUGAUCGAAGCCCCGGUAAACGGCGGCCGUAACUAUAACGGUCCUAAGGUAGCGAAAUUCCUUGUCGGGUAAGUUCCGACCUGCACGAAUGGCGUAAUGAUGGCCAGGCUGUCUCCACCCGAGACUCAGUGAAAUUGAACUCGCUGUGAAGAUGCAGUGUACCCGCGGCAAGACGGAAAGACCCCGUGAACCUUUACUAUAGCUUGACACUGAACAUUGAGCCUUGAUGUGUAGGAUAGGUGGGAGGCUUUGAAGCGUGGACGCCAGUCUGCGUGGAGCCAACCUUGAAAUACCACCCUUUAAUGUUUGAUGUUCUAACGUUGGCCCCUGACCGGGGUUGCGGACAGUGUCUGGUGGGUAGUUUGACUGGGGCGGUCUCCUCCCAAAGCGUAACGGAGGAGCACGAAGGUUAGCUAAUCCUGGUCGGACAUCAGGAGGUUAGUGCAAUGGCAUAAGCUAGCUUGACUGCGAGCGUGACGGCGCGAGCAGGUGCGAAAGCAGGUCAUAGUGAUCCGGUGGUUCUGAAUGGAAGGGCCAUCGCUCAACGGAUAAAAGGUACUCCGGGGAUAACAGGCUGAUACCGCCCAAGAGUUCAUAUCGACGGCGGUGUUUGGCACCUCGAUGUCGGCUCAUCACAUCCUGGGGCUGAAGUAGGUCCCAAGGGUAUGGCUGUUCGCCAUUUAAAGUGGUACGCGAGCUGGGUUUAGAACGUCGUGAGACAGUUCGGUCCCUAUCUGCCGUGGGCGCUGGAGAAUUGAGGGGGGCUGCUCCUAGUACGAGAGGACCGGAGUGGACGCAUCACUGGUGUUCGGGUUGUCAUGCCAAUGGCACUGCCCGGUAGCUAAAUGCGGAAGAGAUAAGUGCUGAAAGCAUCUAAGCACGAAACUUGCCCCGAGAUGAGUUCUCCCUGAGACUUUAAGUCUCCUGAAGGAACGUUGAAGACGACGACGUUGAUAGGCCGGGUGUGUAAGCGCAGCGAUGCGUUGAGCUAACCGGUACUAAUGAACCGUGAGGCUUAACCUUACAACGCCGAAG
rnacentral:rRNA from 1 species